GAACUUCUGGUUGCUUGGGAAGGUAGACCAUCUGAUAAUCGUGGUGGUCCGAGGAGGAAUCGCCUGAGUUGCGGAUGAGGGCGCAGAUAACACAUAAGUGUACUCGUGCAUCAUCUGUCAAAAAGAAAUCAGACUGUGCCACCGGUGCCACCGAAACGGUGAAAUUCCUCAGCUCCCAACGGAAAGGACAUCAACGAUCGACCAGCAGUGGAGUCCGGUCGGUUGGUUAAGUUUGUUUCAGAUAAAACGUUUAGGAAACGGAAACGUUUAGGCAAUCAGACGUCGUCAACACCGGAACUCAUCCGCUAAAAAAUCAGCAAUCCGUACCUGUUAAUUACGCAUAAUUCGCUGCAGGUGUUUGCCAAAACGUCAAGAACCUGGACGAAAGCAGCAACAGCACCAUUAUGCUGGAUUUAAGUGGGUUUUUCCAGCAGGCGGUAGUGGAAUGCGUUCGGAAGGUACCAUGGCCGACAACUACCGAAAGGAUGCCGCGUUCGGGUCGAUAGAUUCCAGCAAGGUGCACUUGCGCUAUGCCCAGGUAGCGGUGAUCAACAUCGAGGAACAGCGAGACAUCGCGGAGUGUGAUCCAUCGUCUAAAAGUUCUGCUGGACAAAAGUCGAGAGUUGAAUUCGGCUGGUCUGCACGACAGUCUGAUUUGUUUGCAAAACUUCCUUGAUUUCUACAUCCACAAGAAGGACGAACUUAUGGCCGCCAACAGCCAGCGGGCACAUCCGAUCCAGACAGGAAUCGUCUCCCGUUUCUCACAGAAACAGAAGCAUGUAGCAGUCGGCCGUGGCGUGAAGAUCCGCUGGUGCACUGUUGCAACUACCGGUUCAACGGGGUUCACGCCAAGUGCUCAACCAAACGGCGCGAGCAACGGAAGUUGGCGGUACAGCAUCGAGGGGUAUCAGUAACAGCAGCAGUUCAGCCACGGCUCUGAGUAAACGGUUUCCUGUCUGGGUCGAGCUGCUAUAGGGACGCAGUUGGGGAAUUUCGAUAUGUAUCGGAAUCCAACCGUCACGGCGUUCGGGGAGCUGUCCGGCGAGGAAGAAGACGUGUAUUUUAGUUGCAGUGAUUCCGAACUAGAGAGCGAUUCCAAUUUGGAUGACUC